UGCAGAAUCCCGUGAACCAUCGAGUUUUUGAACGCAAGUUGCGCCCGAAGCCAUUAGGCUGAGGGCACGUCUGCCUGGGCGUCACGCAUCUCGUCGCCACCCCCCCUCGCGCCYCCUYGGGUCGCRUGCGGGGGGUGGCGGAUGUUGGCCUCCCGUGCCCGCGAGGCGCGGCUGGCCCAAACGCGAGUCCUCGGAGCGGGACGUCACGACGAGUGGUGGUUGAACUCUCAACACGAGUGCUGUCGCGACGACGCCCCCYGACGGACUGCCACGACCCCCAGAGCCCCUCGAAUUGCGGGGCCUCCGAACGCGACCCCAGGUCAGUCGGGACUACCCGCUGAGUUUAAGCAUAUCAAUAAGCGGAGGAAAAGAAACUAACAAGGAUUCCCCUAGUAACGGCGAGCGAACCGGGAACAGCCCA
rnacentral:rRNA from 1 species